UUCCUUUUAUUCUGGAUUGAGCCUUCUUCUUUUGGUCAUCUCGGACUGUCGACUUGCAUUCUUGAAGCGAGCUUCUGUACUUCUAACUUGAAUUGAAUUCUGAAAUGACUUCCCUCGUUCUUCAGGUGGGUGCCUGCAACUGACUUGAAAUUUGAAAUGAAUUCCCUCGUUCUCCAGGUGGGCGCCUGAUGACCUAAAACUUGAAAUAAAUUCCCUCGUUCUCCAGGUGGGCGCCUGAUGACUUAAAACUUGAUAUAAAUUCCCUCAUUCUCCAGGUGGGCGCCUGAUGACUUACACUUGAAAUGAAUUCCCUCAUUCUCCAGGUGGGCGCCUGAUGCUGACUUAAAACUUGAAAUAAAUUCCCUCAUUCUCCAGGUGGGCACCUGCUGACUUAAAAACUUGAAAUGAAUUCUCUCGUUUUCUAGGUGGGUGCCUGAUGUUGACUUACACUUGAAAUGAAUUCUCUCGUUCUCCAGGUAGGCGCCUGAUGACUUAAAACUUGAAAUACAUUCCCUCGUUCUCCAGGUAGGCGCCUGAUGACUUAAAAGUUGAUAUAAAUUCCCUCAUUCUCCAGGUGGGCGCCUGAUGACUUACACUUGAAAUGAAUUUCCUCAUUCUCCAGGUGGGCGCCUGAUGCUGACUUAAAACUUGAAAUAAAUUCCCUCAUUCUCCAGGUGGGCGCCUGCUGACUUAAAAACUUGAAAUGAAUUC
rnacentral:lncRNA from 1 species